UUCACAACCAUCUGUAAUGAGAUCUGAUGCUCUUCUGGUGUGACUGAAGACAGCUACAGUGUACUUACAUAUAGUAAUAGAUAAAUGUUUUUUAAAAAGAAAAGAAUACACACACACACACACACAACACACACACACAGAUAACUGGACAGUAGUGGCACAUACCUUUAUCCCUAGCUGUGAGAGGCAGAGGCAGGUGGAUCUCUGAGACUUACAGGACAGCCUGGUCUAUAAAGCAAGCCCCAGAACAGCUGGAGCUACACAGAGAAACCCUCUCUUGGAAAACCAAAAAAGAAAAAAGAAAGAGUACUUCUGCCUACAAUGGUGGUUUAUGUUUUUAAUCCCAGCACUUGGGAGGCAGAGGCAGGUGGAUUUCAGUGAAUUCCAGGCCAGCCUGGUCUAUGUGGUAUGUUGUUCCAGGCCAGCCAGGGCUACAUCAUGAGAUUCUUUCUGUCUCUGAAUAAAUAAGUAAAUAAACAGUUAAACAAAUGAGAUCUGUAUACUUACAACAGUUGGGCAGCUCUUCUGGAUUAAUGUAUUUUGUAUACUAACCCUCCUUUCUGGUGAAUUGAUGAGUUUUUGCAAAAGUUGGAAAAAUCUGAAGUUGCCAUGAGCUAAUGCUCAUCAUGAAAUUUGGGGCCCUCGGAAUUUCUAUAUAGCUUCACUUUGAAACCAUUAAAAUAAUGUACACUAACUUUAGGAAGACGAACACGAACUUAAUCACCCCUGGAUCUACCCAUGUGGUCUGAUACUGUGAAAGCUAGUGGAUAAAGGAAAAUGGACAAACCUGAGUCUCCCCUCUGCCUGGUGUUUUUGUUUGAACCCAGGGCCCUGAACAUGCUAGACAAGUGUUCUAUUACCGAGCUGCUGUAUUUUUUUUUCUAUGUUUACUUGUUUACUUUGACACAAAGCCUUAUUACUACGUUGUAUAAACUUGUCUUGAUUUUCCUCUCUAGCCUGGGCUGGUCUUGAAUUUCUGUUCUCCAAGUAUGAAUAUUUGGUCUUGAAUGUCUCUCCCUUUUUAGGUACUUUCCCCUUGACUUCCAGUACACAGGUCUUCCCAACACCUUCUCCCUCCCACCCAAGACAGGGUGUUGUAGCCCAAGCUGCCUUCAGAUCCCCUACAGAGAGAGUUACCUUGAAGUUAGGAUCCUCUUUCCUCUGCUUCUUGAGAGCUGAAACUAUCUUAUCAGUUUUAUGUGGUGCUGGGGAUAGAACCUAAGGUUUCAUUCAUGUUAAGCAAGCAUUCUGCCAACUGAACUACCCUCCCCUGAUUAAAACAUUUUUCAGACCAACAGUUUCUCAGUAUCUUUUAAGACUUAUAAAUGUUGGUAUAUUCCCAGGAGUUAGUCCUUUAACCUCUUUUUGGCUAGUGUUUUCUCUUUUGUUGACUUUGGUUGUUUGUCUGUCUGUAUUGGAACUGUUACACAAAGUGUAUCUUUAAUCAGGAACCUUCCUUGAACUUCAGACUUUUGUGUCUAAACUGUCUUAAUUUUUAGCUUUCUGAUGGGCACCAAAAGCUUAUCAGUAUCAAACAGAACGAUAGACUACUUCUUGUCAGCCUGUUUCCUGAGUGAUCUCCCCUUAUCUUGGUAAACACUGAAAAUCCUUUAAUUGUUUAAAACUGAAAUCUGGGAGUCACGCCUUAAUUCCUUAAUUCCUUUUUUGUUUGUUUGUUUGUUUGUUUGUUUUUGUUUUUCAAGACAGGGUUUCUCCGUAUAGCCCUGACUGUCCUGGAACUCACUUAGUAGACCAGGCUGGCCUCGAACUCAGAAAUCCUCCUGCCUCUGCCUCCAGAGUGCUGGGAUUAAAGGCAUGCACCACCACGCCUGGCUCGCCUUAAUUCCUUUACGUUCUUUUAUAUUCCAUCAUCUAGCUUUGUCAAUUCUCCCACCAAAAUAGAUGCUAAGUUUACACACGGCAUCCUCUAACCAUCCAGCUUGAGCUAGCGUUGUCUCUUAGAUGACCACCUUUCACCUACUGUGUGCCUCCUCAUAGAUUCCCUGUAGUUUAUUCUCCAUCCUAAUCACUACUUCUAGAACAUAAAAUGAAAGCUGUGAUUAAGCUGCAGCCUAAUUCUCUGGCCUCACUUAAUUCUACACUUUUCCCACUCACUGUGACUCACUAGAAAUAAACCUUUCUCUCCACCCGCAUUCCAAAGCAGGUUACUCUGUGACAAGGAUUAUGGAAGACUAUCAGAAUACAUCAAUUCAGUUGCUUAACAUUUUAAAAUCUCACAAAGAACUAUAGACUUGGAAUAGGUCUCAUAGAGAUUCUCUUGACUUAAGAAGAGGGCUGAGCAACAGGAUGUGAGGUAUGAAUAGGUCACUUCAAUAACUAGAAGUUGUAUCCCCUUUCCAUCUGUCAUUUAACUUUUAAUUAAGAAAUCUUGUUCAGGGACAAGAGAGAUGGCCCAAUGAUUAAGAGUACUUGUGCUCCCUUAGAGGAACAGCAUUUGGUUCCCAGCACCCACAUGACACCACAAUCAUCCACUCACAUGACACCAUAUCCCUAACUCCAGGGAAAUCUGAUGCCCUCUUCUGAAUUCCAAGGGCACCAGGCAUGCAUACGGUUCAUUUACCUGUAUUGAGGCAAACCCUUACAUACAUAAGAUAAAAAAAUAAAACUUUUUUUUAAAAACAUUGUUUGUGGGUCGGAGAGAUGGCUCAGCAUUUAAGAGCACUGACUGCUCUUCCAGAGGUCCUGAGUUCAAUUUCCAGCAACCACAUAGUAGCUUACAACCAUCUGUAAUGGAAUCCAAUGCCCUCUUCUGAUAUGUCUGAAGAGUUAGCUAAAUAGUGUACUCACAUACAUAAAAUAAAUAGGUCUUUAAAAAAAAUACCUCAACAAACAUGAUGAAAUAUUGCUCAGCUAUGAAAAACAAACCAACCAACCUUGAUUUUAGGAAUAUGCAUUAGUCCCUAGAUUUGAUACAGCUCAUUGCAAAAUUAAAAUUAAAAAAAGACAAAUAAAAUAAAAAAGACAAACUGAUGACUCAUAUUU
rnacentral:lncRNA from 1 species